GGGAUUGUGGCUCAGGGGUAGAGCGCUCACCUAGCAUGUACGAGGGGCCCUGGGUUCGAUCCUCAGCAACACA
rnacentral:tRNA from 1 species